GGAGCCUCGCCGGUGGACUGAUUCAGGAAACAAGGAUGCUGGGACAGAGCAGCGCCGUGGUCCGAGUGAUCGGUGGACUGAUUCAGGUAACAAGGAUGCUGGGACUGAGCAGCGGCGUGAAAGCAAGUGGAACUCUCGCUGGGGACCUGACGACAAGGAAGCUGAGAACGCUCGUAACAAGUGGGAUGAAGCUGGCAAAGAUGGUGAGAUCAUUCGUGAGAAGGGUCCGUCUCUUCCUUCUAGUGAUGGAGAUCAUUACCGGCCCUGGAGACCCUCUCAAGGUCGAGGAAGAGGAGAAUCUCUUCAUAGCCAGUCAACACCAAACAAGCAGGGUACAGCCUUUUCUCACAGCAGGGGGCGUGGAGAAAACACUGCUAUCUUUUCAGCUGGGCGUGGAAGGAUGAGUUCUGGUGGAAGCCUUUUUACUAACGCAACAAACCAGUCUCACCCUCCUGGAUCUGCCUCUGAGAAAGGGGAAAGUGGUACUGGAGAGCCUUACCAUCUGAGAUAUAGCAGAAUGAAACUGUUGGAUGUGUACAGGAUGGCAGAUACUGUGUGUUUUGAGAAGUUUCCAGAUGGGUUCAUCGAGGUGCCUUCCCUUACUUGUGAGCAGCCGUCGGAUCCUCUGGCUAUUUGCGCUCCAAGUUCUGAGGAAGUGGUCAGUAUUCAUUAAUUUAGUUUAUGUUUUUCUUCUUCCUAUAGUAUGUCACUUUUCUAAUCGUUAUGCCCUUGUUCCUCAUAGAAUAUUCUGGAUGGGAUUGAGAAAGGAAAAAUAGUGAGUAGUGCAAGAAGGCUGACCGGCGGGAUAAUGUGGGCUCUAGACAGUUUGGGGAGCCUCGCCGGUGGACUGAUUCAGGAAACAAGGAUGCUGGGACAGAGCAGCGCCGUGGUCCGAGUGAUCGGUGGACUGAUUCAGGUAACAAGGAUGCUGGGACUGAGCAGCGGCGUGAAAGCAAGUGGAACUCUCGCUGGGGACCUGACGACAAGGAAGCUGAGAACGCUCGUAACAAGUGGGAUGAAGCUGGCAAAGAUGGUGAGAUCAUUCGUGAGAAGGGUCCGUCUCUUCCUUCUAGUGAUGGAGAUCAUUACCGGCCCUGGAGACCCUCUCAAGGUCGAGGAAGAGGAG
rnacentral:lncRNA from 1 species